rnacentral:rRNA from 1 species
GGUCAAUAGCCUAACGGCUGAACCAGCAACUUUGAAGGAAUGUAUAGCGAAAUGCUAGUUGUGCUUACAGGUUCUAGGUUUCUUUAGAAAAAAAAUUUUUUUUUUCUGAAGAAAUAAGAAAAGGGUGGUGCAAUCUUGACUAGAUCAAAUAAAGUUCUAGGUAGAGUUAUGAUGAUGACAUAUUCUAUCUAUUAGUCUUGACCAAAUUACGUGCCAGCAGUCGCGGUAAUACGUAUAAGACUAGUGUUAUUCAUCUUUAAUGGGUUUAAAGGGUACCUAGACGGCUAAUAAAGCUCCAAAAGAGUACUAAUUAGCUAGAGUCUGAUGUAAGGAGGCGAUAAAGUACUGAUAGUCUAGAGAUGAAAUUCGUUAUAAACUAUAUAUGGCACUGGUAAAAGCGAAGGCGUCCUCUUAUGUAAUGACUGACGU